rnacentral:rRNA from 1 species
UGGGGAAUUUUGCACAAUGGGGGAAACCCUGAUGCAGCGACGCCGCGUGAUUUAGAAGGCCUUCGGGUUGUAAAAAUCUUUUCUAUGGGAAGAAAAUGACAGUACCGUAGGAAUAAGGACCGGCUAAUUACGUGCCAGCAGCCGCGGUAAUACGUAAGGUCCGAGCGUUGUCCGGAAUCAUUGGGCGUAAAGGGUACGUAGGCGGGUAAGCAAGUUAGAAGUGAAAUCCUAUAGCUCAACUAUAGUAAGCUUUUAAAACUGCUCAUCUUGAGGUAUGGAAGGGAAAGUGGAAUUCCUAGUGUAGCGGUGAAAUGCGCAGAUAUUAGGAGGAAUACCGGUGGCGAAGGCGACUUUCUGGCCAUAACCUGACGCUGAGGUACGAAAGCGUGGGUAGCAAACAGG